CUUCUUCCUCUUAAGUCUAUGAUUUCUCAUUUUUUUAAAGAAAAUGAAUUGAGAGAAAACAAAUACAAAAAAAAUUGGCCCUUAAAAAAGAAGAGAAAAUAAAGAGAGCCCACAGCACAAUAUCUCAUUAGUAUACAGAAACAUUACUCUUCUUACCAAACAGGUACCCUCACUAACCAGAUCAUCCUCAUUAUUCUCCAUGCUCCCACACUCUGCUCCGUCUAAUCCUAGCCGUUGAUCUCUUCAUUCAUGAACCUUAUGUUCUUCAAAUCUAGGGUUUCCACCGUCAGCCACCGCCAUACAACCCUAAUCUCCACCCAUGUCAUCAAAGAUCAACCAUCACCACCACCACCACCGGUUCAACACCCAGAUUUUCCCUCCUCCUUGUCCCCACUUAGCCGAGUUCCGUGCCCGGAACGGCCCCAUGCCCUUCCGGUCCCUCCAAGAUUGUCUGCGGGCGAAACCACCGUGCGGUCGCGCCGCCAUACGCCGGGAACCUUCCGAGGUUCCUCGAUGUGGCGCGUGCGGAGAAUCUGCGCGGCCCCGGCUCUACGCUUGCGUGGCGUGUGCGGCUAUCUCCUGCCACGCGCCUCCCGAACUAUCGCAUGCGGCUGCGCAUGCCACGUCCAUGCCUCCAGGACACGAGAUCGCGGUGGACGUUGAUCGCGCGGAACUCUUUUGCUGCGCGUGCCGCGAUCAGAUCUAUGACCGUGAUUUUGAUGCUGCGGUGGUCUUAUCCCAAUCCACUACGCUCAAAUCCGCCACAAUCCAAUCGGCGAAACCCGAAAAUCUCUGUAAACG
rnacentral:misc_RNA from 1 species